rnacentral:rRNA from 1 species
UACGAAGGGGGCUAGCGUUGUUCGGAGUUACUGGGCGUAAAGGGCGCGUAGGCGGCGCACCAAGUCAGGCGUGAAAGCCCUGGGCUCAACCCGGGAAUUGCGCUUGAGACUGGUGUGCUUGAGUACGGGAGAGGAUAGUGGAAUUCCCAGUGUAGAGGUGAAAUUCGUAGAUAUUGGGAAGAACACCGGUGGCGAAGGCGGCUAUCUGGACCGUAACUGACGCUGAGGC